rnacentral:rRNA from 1 species
GACGAACGCUGGCGGCGUGCUUAACACAUGCAAGUCGAACGAUGAAGAAAAGAAUCGAAGCUUCGGCAGAAAUUCAUUUCGGAUUAGUGGCAGACGGGUGAGUAACGCGUGAGCAACCUACCUCUUACAGAGGGAUAGCCUCGGGAAACCGGGAUUAAUACCAUAUAACAUUGUGACGAAGCAUUUCGAUGCAAUCAAAGCUACGGCGGUAAGAGAUGGGCUCGCGUCCCAUUAACCGGAUGGUGAGGUAACGGCUCACCAUAGUGACGAUGGGUAACCGGCCUGAGAGGGUGAACGGUCACACUGGAACUGAGACACGGUCCAGACUCCUACGGGAGGCAGCAGUGGGGAAUAUUGCACAAUGGAGGGAACUCUGAUGCAGCGACGCCGCGUGAGUGAUGAAGGAAUUCGUUUCGUAAAACUCUGUUCUAUGGGAAGAAAAGGACUGUACCAUAGGAGAAAGCUCCGGCUAAAUACGUG